CACUGAAAACUGCUUCUGCAACUUAUAUUUUACAACAACAUAUUAGUAAGCCAGCAUACUAUUUGAAAAAGAUUGUUGAAAGAUACCAGAAGGAUGUUCAAACUCAUAAAUCGAAUAUAAACUGACAAAGCCAUGGCUAAAAAAGAAAAAGACAAACAGAAAAACAAUAGUACACAAAACACAACUUACAAAAAUAAAGACUGUGAAGCACGAACCCCACCAGAAACUGGGGGUGAUCUCAGGUGCUCCAAAAGAGUAAGCAGAUCCUGCUUCACAUGUGGCACCUGUCAUGUUGCUCAUGUUAAAGUGGUAAUUUAUUUCACCCAAAUUAAAUGUAAAUGUAAUUAAAAUGAAAAGUUUUGGAAUAUCAGUUCAUUGCAAAAAAUAAAGGCACAUACAUGUACGUGAAAAAAAUGAAAAGCAUGGGAAUAAGGCUUUUAUUGCUGUUCUUCAUUUGAAAAUUACGAUAUAUCCUUUAAGAGAGAACUGCAUAAUAAUUUCUUUCAAUAAUGUAAAGCUAGAAAAUGAAGUGAGCAUAGGUGAUUUUUUUUAUGUCUUCCAUAUAGAUUGAGAGACAAACUGUUAAUUCAAUGUAAGUUCACUCCAAGAGAAAGACCAUAUUAAACAAAAUGGAAACCAUUGUAGAAAGUAAUAAGUAGCUCUUCUUUUGUACAACAAUUCAUUAAGAAAGAUCCUUACUUACAGUACAUGCAUGUAUGAAUAUCUUUCAUGAACAAAGCACC
rnacentral:lncRNA from 1 species